rnacentral:rRNA from 1 species
AUUGAACGCUAGCGGGAUGCCUUACACAUGCAAGUCGAACGGAGUGGCGAACGGGUGAGUAAUGUAUAGGAACGUGCCCAGUAGCGGGGGAUAACUACGCGAAAGCGUAGCUAAUACCGCAUACUAUUGGAGCGGCCGAUAUCGGAUUAGCUAGUUGGUGGGGUAACGGCUCACCAAGGCGAAGAUCCCUAGCGGGUUUGAGAGGACGACCAGCCACAAUGGGACUGAGAAACGGCCCAGACUCCUACGGGAGGCAGCAGUGGGGAAUUUUGGACAAUGGGGGAAACCCUGAUCCAGCCAUGCCGCGUGGGUGAAGAAGGCCUUCGGGUUGUAAAGUACUUUCAGCGGGGAGGCGUUACCCGCAGAAGAAGCACCGGCUAACUCCGUGCCAGCAGCCGCGGUAAUUC